GGGGGGCGAGGUCAAAUCAUGAUGUGGCGGGGGGUCGAGGUCAAAUCAUGAUGUGGGGGGGGCGAGGUCAAAUCAUGAUGUGGGGGGGACAAGAGACGCCUCUGUGGAGACCCCUCUGUGGAGGUGGAGACCCCUCUGUGGAGGUGGAGACCCCUCUGUGGAGACCCCUCUGUGGAGGUGGAGACCCCUCUGUGGAGACCCCUCUGUGGAGGUGGAGACCCCUCUGUGGAGACCCCUCUGUGGAGGUGGAGACCCCUCUGUGGCGGUGGAGACCCCUCUGUGGCGGUGGAGACCCCUCUGUGGAGGUGGAGACCCCUCUGUGGAGGUGGAGACCCCUCUGUGGCGGAUAUUGAUUCAGAUGUUUCUGGAGCCAUGACAUGAGAAAAUGUGUUUUUCAUUUUAUUUGUUUAUUAGGAUCCCCAUUAGCUAGCUAGGGGACAGCAAGUCUUACUGGGGAAACAACAUAUAAUGAAAAAUACUUUACAGACAAAUUACUUUACAGUUUAAAUACAUUUAAAAACAGUAACAUAUAAUGUGUGUGUAUUUAUCAGUGACACAUACAUGUCAGUACACACACAACCAGUAGGUCACAUGUCAGUACACACGACCAGUAGGUCACAUGUCAGUACAAACACACAACCAGUAGGUCACAUAUCAGUACAAACACACGACCAGUAGGUCACAUAUCAGUACACACACACACGACCAGUAGGUCACAUAUCAGUACACACACACACGACCAGUAGGUCACAUAUCAGUACACACAACCAGUAGGUCACAUGUCAGCAGCAGCACGGCCAGGUGGACUGGGGACAUGUCAGUACAUGUUCCAUGCACUCAUGGCUCUGGAUAAUACUGCACGUUUUCUUGAAUUUGUUCUGGAUUUGGGGACUGUGAAAAGACCCCUGGUGGCAUGUCUGGUGGGGUAAGUGUGUGUGUGUCAGUGCUGUGUGUGUAAGUUGACUAUGCAAACAAUUUGGAAUUUCCAACACAUGAAUGUUUCUUUAUAAAAAUAAAAAAAAACAGUUUCUCGACUCUUAGCCAAGAGAGACGCAUGUGUAGUAUUAAUAUCAGCCCUCUGAUUACAGUGAAGAGCCAAGACGGGCCGCUCUGUUCUGGACCAGCUGCAGCUUAACUAGGUCUUUGCAGCACUCGACCACACGACUGGACAAUAAUCAAGAUAAGAUAAAACUAGAGCCUGCAGAACUUGCUUUGUGGAGUGUGGUGUCAAAAAAGCAGAGCAUCUCUUUAUUACGGACAGACCUCAUUCCCCCAUCUUUACAACCAUUGAAUCUGUAUGUUUUGACCUUGUUGACAGUUUACAAUGUAAGGUAACAACAAGUAAUUUAGUCUCCUCAACUUGUUCAACAGCCACACCAUUCAUUACCAGAUUCAGC
rnacentral:lncRNA from 1 species